ensembl:misc_RNA
UUGACAGCUUGGAGACUGAAGCCCUCUAUUUAUCCACAGUACAAGCAUAGCAUGGGCACCAACAGUGCAAAUCUCUCUCUAUUGCCCCACAGAUUAUGUGUCAGCCCAUUUCUAAAGCUUUUUGAGCAAGAGGGUAGUGAAAUCUCCAUGCCUAUCUGCUUCUUGGAAUCU